ACUUCCUGUUGACCUUCGACCCGCCACUUCCUGCUGCCUCCCCAAAAAGAGGGAGGGGGGGAAAGAAGCCAGACAGAAGAGGGUAGAACGGAGACGGGGGUGAGCAAAAAAAAGAAAGAAAGAAAGAAAAAAGUUAGCUCCUCCUCUUUCUUCUCCAUCUCCCUCUUUCCUUCUCUCUCACUGGGAAUGUUAACAGCACUCUGCCACGUCAAGCUUACGAGUUGCCGCUGUGCCACCCGGUAGGAACGAGACGAUGCGCUCCGUUUUCCGUCAGAACACGUACGUGUUGCGUUUUCAAGGGAAAAUCUCCGGACUUCGACUCUGGGACAGGCGUUUUUUUGUUUUUUCUCCCCCUCCGAACGAACCUCAGGGCCCGGAGACAGACCCCAACUUCUAGAACUUCUACGAUUCCAAACUUUUCCGGCCUGGCCGUCUGACUUCGAGUGCCGACCCGGCUGAAGCGUCUCGCUCUGACUGGAGACGGGAAGACGGACGGGACGGGGAUGGGUGAAGCGUGAAGAGAAACAUCUGUCCUGAAUCUAGGCAGCUUCGCACUGAAGACGAGUCCUGAGAGGCGUGAAGGACUGGAACGUUUGCGGAGGCAGGACGGAGCGCUGAAAGCACCAUCGCGAGAGCAAGAGCCAUCGCUUCGCACUCGUAAAUGGUAAAAAUCACACACUUAUCUCUAAUCUCUGAAUGAACCUGGUCCAGGAUACGAGCGCACGUGCGUGCAAAUCAAUCCGGGAAUGGAGUAAGAAGGUUGAAACAGAGAGGAUAGUGACCUGUCCCGCCUGCCCAGUGUUCAGACUACCUGUUCAGGAAGUAGCGGUUGUACAGUAGUCUGCACAUUGGUUAGGCUGGGUGGGGAAGCGCGAGAGUCGGCUCUUGACCGAUCGACAACGUGUCAUGCUUUUACUGAUCAACUGUGAUGUCUCAUUCUUUAAUAAAUCCAUCCAAUUAAACAUGAAAUGUGUUGUUUUUUUUUUUGUUUAAAUAAACAAAUGUUAUUAUUAUAACCCUCACAAUAUCUUAUGUGUCAUCUUACACUCACACAACGACAGCUUUCCUAUUAGUUUCACUUUACUGUAGGUGUGUAAGGCAUGUUUAAUUCCCUAAGCCAGUUUCAUCGCUCGCAGGAGUGACACAGCAUGACUAGGCAACACCAUAAAAAAAAUAAUAAUAAUAAUUUAAAUCCCACAGACGUAUAAACAAUCGUUUAUAUUUA